GUCCUUGAUUGGGAGUUGGUAGAGAACCAAUUCUAUCCCACAUACCAAGGAAGACAAAUCCCUGUUUGUUUGUUUUUAAAGGUAAAAUAAAAUUGAAAGCAGUCAAGAUUCCAGAUGGAGUUGGGGAUCCAUAGAAUGAUUUUUAAAAGUGUCUUCCCCUGCAACUCACCACCCUUUCCUUUUUAUUUGAAUUUCCUGCCAAUGGACUUAAGCAUCAUUUAUCUACAUUAAAAAAAACCCUGCUUACUCUGGAAGGUGCUAAGACAGACCUCCAGAGUGUCAGCCCCCAGAAGAAGCCUUGUGUCC
rnacentral:lncRNA from 1 species